rnacentral:rRNA from 1 species
CACACUAUCCAAUCAACUUUGUAACACCAGGGAUUAUGCUUCCAGGUGCGUUGAUGCUGGAUUACACCAUGUACUUGACUCGCAACUGGCUGGUAACAGCAUUGGUUGGUGGCGGAUUCUUCGGUUUGCUGUUCUAUCCAGGUAACUGGCCAAUUUUUGGACCAACCCAUCUGCCUAUCGUUGUAGAGGGAACAUUGUUGUCAAUGGCUGACUACAUGGGCCAUCUGUAUGUUCGUACAGGUACACCAGAGUAUGUUCGUCAUAUUGAGCAAGGUUCGCUGCGUACCUUCGGUGGUCACACCACGGUUAUUGCGGCAUUUUUCUCGGCGUUUGUAUCAAUGCUCAUGUUCGCGGUAUGGUGGUACCUUGGAAAAGUGUACUGCACAGCUUUCUUCUACGUUAAAGGGAAAAGAGGUCGUGUUGUACAACGUAAUGAUGUCACUGCAUUUGGC